UAAAGGGAAAACCUCAAAGCAUGGUUCGGGACCAUGAGGCCGUGAGUUCGAAUCUCGCCACUCGGACCA
rnacentral:tRNA from 1 species